ensembl:misc_RNA Metazoa_SRP Metazoan signal recognition particle RNA
GCCGGGCAUGGUGUCUCCUGCCUGUGAUCCCAGCUCCUUGGGAGGCUGAGGCUGGAGGAUUGCUUGAGUCCAGGAGUUCUAGGCUGCGGCGGGCUACGUGGAGCAGGUGUCCUCGCCAAGGUCAGCAUCAACAUGGGGGCUCUCUGGGGAGCCAGGGGCUACCAGGUUGCCUAAGGAGGGGCGAACCGGCCCAGGCUGGAGACAGAGCAGGCCAAAGCUCCCGUGCUGAGCAGUGGUGGGAUUGCACCUCAGAGUAGCACCUGCAGUGUUAGCCUGGGCAAGAAAGCAAGACCCAGCCUCUC